UGAAGAGUUUGAUCAUGGCUCAGAUUGAACGCUGGCGGCAGGCCUAACACAUGCAAGUCGAACGGUAACAGGAAGCAGCUUGCUGCUUUGCUGACGAGUGGCGGACGGGUGAGUAAUGUCUGGGAAACUGCCUGAUGGAGGGGGAUAACUACUGGAAACGGUGGCUAAUACCGCAUAACGUCGCAAGACCAAAGAGGGGGACCUUCGGGCCUCUUGCCAUCAGAUGUGCCCAGAUGGGAUUAGCUUGUUGGUGAGGUAACGGCUCACCAAGGCGACGAUCCCUAGCUGGUCUGAGAGGAUGACCAGCCACACUGGAACUGAGACACGGUCCAGACUCCUACGGGAGGCAGCAGUGGGGAAUAUUGCACAAUGGGCGCAAGCCUGAUGCAGCCAUGCCGCGUGUAUGAAGAAGGCCUUCGGGUUGUAAAGUACUUUCAGCGGGGAGGAAGGUGUUGUGGUUAAUAACCGCAGCAAUUGACGUUACCCGCAGAAGAAGCACCGGCUAACUCCGUGCCAGCAGCCGCGGUAAUACGGAGGGUGCAAGCGUUAAUCGGAAUUACUGGGCGUAAAGCGCACGCAGGCGGUCUGUCAAGUCGGAUGUGAAAUCCCCGGGCUCAACCUGGGAACUGCAUUCGAAACUGGCAGGCUUGAGUCUUGUAGAGGGGGGUAGAAUUCCAGGUGUAGCGGUGAAAUGCGUAGAGAUCUGGAGGAAUACCGGUGGCGAAGGCGGCCCCCUGGACAAAGACUGACGCUCAGGUGCGAAAGCGUGGGGAGCAAACAGGAUUAGAUACCCUGGUAGUCCACGCCGUAAACGAUGUCUACUUGGAGGUUGUGCCCUUGAGGCGUGGCUUCCGGAGCUAACGCGUUAAGUAGACCGCCUGGGGAGUACGGCCGCAAGGUUAAAACUCAAAUGAAUUGACGGGGGCCCGCACAAGCGGUGGAGCAUGUGGUUUAAUUCGAUGCAACGCGAAGAACCUUACCUGGUCUUGACAUCCACGGAAGAAUUCAGAGAUGGAUUUGUGCCUUCGGGAACCGUGAGACAGGUG
rnacentral:rRNA from 1 species